CCCGCACAAGCGGUGGAGCAUGUGGUUUAAUUCGAAGCAACGCGAAAGAACCUUACCAGGUCUUGACAUCCCCCUGACAACCCGAGAGAUCGGGCGUUCCCCCUUCGGGGGACAGGGUGACAGGUGGUGCAUGGUUGUCGUCAGCUCGUGUCGUGAGAUGUUGGGUUAAGUCCCGCAACGAGCGCAACCCUCGACCUUAGUUGCCAGCAUUCAGUUGGGCACUCUAAGGUGACUGCCGGCUAAAAGUCGGAGGAAGGUGGGGAUGACGUCAAAUCAUCAUGCCCCUUAUGACCUGGGCUACACACGUGCUACAAUGGGCGGUACAAAGGGUCGCGAACCCGCGAGGGGGAGCCAAUCCCAUAAAGCCGGCCUCAGUUCAGAUCGGAGGCUGCAACUCGCCUCCGUGAAGGCGGAAUCGCUAGUAAUCGCGGAUCAGCAGGCCGCGGUGAAUACGUUCCCGGGCCUU
rnacentral:rRNA from 1 species